rnacentral:rRNA from 1 species
CCUACGGGGUGCAGCAGUGGGGAAUAUUGCACAAUGGGCGCAAGCCUGAUGCAGCCAUGCCGCGUGUGUGAAGAAGGCCUUCGGGUUGUAAAGCACUUUCAGCGGGGAGGAAGGCGGUGAGGUUAAUAACCUCACCGAUUGACGUUACCCGCAGAAGAAGCACCGGCUAACUCCGUGCCAGCAGCCGCGGUAAUACGGAGGGUGCAAGCGUUAAUCGGAAUUACUGGGCGUAAAGCGCACGCAGGCGGUCUGUCAAGUCGGAUGUGAAAUCCCCGGGCUCAACCUGGGAACUGCAUUCGAAACUGGCAGGCUAGAGUCUUGUAGAGGGGGGUAGAAUUCCAGGUGUAGCGGUGAAAUGCGUAGAGAUCUGGAGGAAUACCGGUGGCGAAGGCGGCCCCCUGGAGAAAGACUGACGCUCAGGUGCGAAAGCGUGGGGAGCAAACAGGAUUAGAUAC